rnacentral:rRNA from 1 species
UACGAAGGGGGCUAGCGUUGUUCGGAUUUACUGGGCGUAAAGCGUGCGCAGGCGGUUUUGUAAGUCUGAUGUGAAAUCCCCGGGCUCAACCUGGGAAUUGCAUUGGAGACUGCAAGGCUAGAAUCUGGCAGAGGGGGGUAGAAUUCCACGUGUAGCAGUGAAAUGCGUAGAGAUGUGGAGGAACACCGAUGGCGAAGGCAGCCCCCUGGGUCAAGAUUGACGC